rnacentral:rRNA from 1 species
UACGUAGGUGGCAAGCGUUGUCCGGAUUUACUGGGCGUAAAGAGCGCGCAGGCGGUUGUCCAAGUCGAAUGUGAAAGCCCCCGGCUCAACUGGGGAGGGUCAUUCGAUACUGUUCGACUCGAAGGCAGGAGAGGGAAGUGGAAUUCCGGGUGUAGUGGUGAAAUGCGUAGAUAUCUGGAGGAACACCGGUGGCGAAGGCGGCAUCCUGGACCGACACUGACGCUGAGGCGCGAAAGCUAGGGGAGCAAACGGG